GAUGAACGCUGGCGGCGUGCCUAAUACAUGCAAGUCGAGCGAACAGACGAGGAGCUUGCUCCUCUGACGUUAGCGGCGGACGGGUGAGUAACACGUGGAUCACCUACCUAUAAGACUGGGAUAAAUUCGGGAAACCGGAGCUACUACCGGAUAAUAUAUUGAACCGCAUGGUUCAAUAGUGAAAGACGGUUUUGCUGUCACUUAUAGAUGGAUCCGCGCCGCAUUAGCUAGUUGGUAAGGUAACGGCUUACCAAGGCAACGAUGCGUAGCCGACCUGAGAGGGUGAUCGGCCACACUGGAACUGAGACACGGUCCAGACUCCUACGGGAGGCAGCAGUAGGGAAUCUUCCGCAAUGGGCGAAAGCCUGACGGAGCAACGCCGCGUGAGUGAUGAAGGUCUUCGGAUCGUAAAACUCUGUUAUUAGGGAAGAACAAAUGUGUAAGUAACUAUGCACGUCUUGACGGUACCUAAUCAGAAAGCCACGGCUAACUACGUG
rnacentral:rRNA from 1 species